rnacentral:rRNA from 1 species
GACGAACGCUGGCGGCGUGCUUAACACAUGCAAGUCGAGCGGUAAGGCCCUUUCGGGGGUACACGAGCGGCGAACGGGUGAGUAACACGUGAGUAAUCUGCCCUCCACUUUGGGAUAACCAUCGGAAACGGUGGCUAAUACCGGAUAGGACCUGCGCCUGCAUGGGUGUGGGUGGAAAGUUCUGGCGGUGGGGGAUGAGCUCGCGGCCUAUCAGCUUGUUGGUGGGGUGAUGGCCUACCAAGGCUUUGACGGGUAGCCGGCCUGAGAGGGUGACCGGCCACACUGGGACUGAGACACGGCCCAGACUCCUACGGGAGGCAGCAGUGGGGAAUAUUGGACAAUGGGCGAAAGCCUGAUCCAGCAACGCCGCGUGAGGGAUGACGGCCUUCGGGUUGUAAACCUCUUUCAGCUUCGACGAAGGCUCUGCUUUUUGGUGGGGUUGACGGUAGGAGCAGAAGAAGCACCGGCCAACUACGUGCCAGCAGCCGCG